ACACGUCCCUGUGAUUUAUGGAGCGCGUCCCAGAGCCGGCGGCCAUUAUUCCCAGUGAAAAGCGCAAAGCAUCAUGGGAGGAAAUGUGUUCAUGUCCAUAAUGCAUCUUUUCACAGUGUUAAGGUGAAGGAAAGUGAAGCUGAGAUCCGACUGGUUCCUCAGGAGGAUCAUGAUCUUCACACUGCAGAGCUUCUCGACCUGACAGAUCACAUGAUUGACAGUGUUGAAGGAAAAUCUCCCUGAGAUGCAGA